AUUGAACGCUGGCGGCAGGCCUAACACAUGCAAGUCGAGCGGAUGAAGGGAGCUUGCUCCUGGAUUCAGCGGCGGACGGGUGAGUAAUGCCUAGGAAUCUGCCUGGUAGUGGGGGAUAACGUCCGGAAACGGGCGCUAAUACCGCAUACGUCCUGAGGGAGAAAGUGGGGGAUCUUCGGACCUCACGCUAUCAGAUGAGCCUAGGUCGGAUUAGCUAGUUGGUGGGGUAAAGGCCUACCAAGGCGACGAUCCGUAACUGGUCUGAGAGGAUGAUCAGUCAAACUGGAACUGAGACACGGUCCAGACCCCUACGGGAAGCAGCAGUGGGGAAUAUUUGACAAUUGGCGAAAGCCUGAUCCAGCCAUGCCGCGUGUGUGAAGAAGGUCUUCGGAUUGUAAAGCACUUUAAGUUGGGAGGAAGGGCAGUAAGUUAAUACCUUGCUGUUUUGAAGGUACCAACAGAAUAAGCAACGGCCAACUUCGUG
rnacentral:rRNA from 1 species